UACCGUGGUCUGUGUGUGUGUGUGUUGUGUUGACGUUGCCAUGGUGAUAUCUACAGUAUAAAUGUCAUUCCGUGUGCCGACCCAGACAUUGACGACUUCCUCAACACACAAGAUGCAGAUUAUCAUCAUCGUUGGACUUCUGGCCUGUGUUUGCCUGGGUGCGGUUCAGAGUGCGACAUCAACCACCGCCCACGCUGCUGGGGUGACCACCCAUCAUGAAACGUCUACACACCACACAGGUCACUCAGGGUCCUCCCCGUUGUCGAUGGCGUUGUGGGUCAACGUGGUGUUGUUGCUGGUCGCAGUCUGUGUACAACGGCUUUAACUUCUUCACCAAGGCUACAGCGGCCUUUCCACCUGUAGUAAAGCACCUGUAGGAUCUGUGUAGGAACACUCUCCGUCAUCGUGUCUCGCGUAAGCUGCUCGAGACUGCUGCUACUGUCCUCUGCUCGGCUCUGCUGCUACUGUCGUCUGCUGGGUCAGCUCCUUUGGGAGCUGCUCGGCUCUGCUGCUACUGUCGUCUGCUAUUGUCGUCUGCUGGGUCAGCCCCUAUGGGAGCUGCUCGAGACUGCUGUUACUGUCGUCUGCCGGGUUGGCUCCUCUGGGAGCUGCUCGAGACUGCUGCUACUGUCGUCUGCUGGGUCAGCUCCUAUGGGAGCUGCUCGGCUCUGCUGCUUUUGUCUGCUGCUGGUGUAUGGGUUGUAGUGAUGACGUCAGCAAAGAUUGCUCACUGAACCUGACCUCGGCCUGUACACACGACUACCUCUUGUUACACAAAUAAACACUCUUUGUGAA